rnacentral:rRNA from 1 species
UGGGGAAUCUUGCGCAAUGCGCGAAAGCGUGACGCAGCAACGCCGCGUGGGGGAAGAAGGUUUUCGGAUUGUAAACCCCUUUCAGGAAGGACGAAGGUUCGGCAGUUAAUAGCUGACCGGACUGACGGUACUUCCACAAGAAGGUCCGGCUAACUACGUGCCAGCAGCCGCGGUAAUACGUAGGGACCUAGCGUUGUCCGGAAUCAUUGGGCGUAAAGCGCGCGUAGGCGGCCCGGUAAGUCCGUUGUAAAAGUCGAAGGCUCAACCUUCGAAAGCCGAUGGAUACUGCCGGGCUAGAGUCCGGAAGAGGCGAGUAGAAUUCCUGGUGUAGCGGUGGAAUGCGCAGAUAUCAGGAGGAAUACCCAUAGCGAAGGCAGCUCGCUGGGACGGUACUGACGCUGAGGCGCGAAAGCGUGGGGAGCGAACAGGAUUAGAUACCCUGGUAGUCCACGCCGUAAACGAUGGGCACUAGGUGUGGGAGGUGUCGACUCCUCCCGUG